rnacentral:snoRNA from 1 species
CCGCCUGGACCGAGGACAUGUUCUUGUUUGUGACUUGAGGAAUGUGUUUCUAAAGUGUAUGAUCUCGCUGCCCACGAUGAAGAGUUGGUGAUAUUCCUUCUUGAACAUGAAAAACUUAGAGACUUGGUUCAUCCUUGUUCUGUGCUACUGAUGACUGUUCACUGUUUCUUCAAUUACCAGUGAGUGAAGAAGUAUGCCCCUCCUGGA